rnacentral:snoRNA from 1 species
AUGCUGAGAACCAGACUGGGCUCCUUUCCUCAUGAGGGCUUAUUGUGCAAGGACUGCAGCAGCAGCCCCCUCAGUGAUAUAAGCCACCUCUGGUGUGUAUGGGUUCCCUAAGGGACCUGGAAUACAGCC